GAUUUUGAUUUUUCACAUUUUAGCGUAUUCCAACAAAUUUUGAUUGUAAUGAACUUUUACAGUUGCUCAAAAAAUGGCUAACACACUGAACAAAAUAUGCUCAAGUACAUAUGGAAACUUCUCCGAUUAAAGGUGACCAGGUGACCACCGGUGACCUGACUGACCUUUGGCGACCCAUACCAUCAUAUUGUUGUGUCAUCAUGUGUUUGUCUGUGUGCCUGUGUUAGCAAAGGUGCAUGUAAAAUAAUAAAGAUGCUCUUCGUAUUGAUUUGGGGGUCAUGCAUUCAUUAGUAAUCCUAAAGAACUCAUUAGUCGUCCCUUUUUCCUCUGCAAGACAGUGAAGAUGAUAAACAUGAACAAGGAAGAGAUGAUGCAUUUACAUGCACUUCUCCUUUAUGACUAGUGAUAUUCACCUGAUACAAAAUCAACUGAAUGCCUAGUCCCAUAGUAAAGUUAGUGUCUGAUCCCGAAGCAUCAGUUUAUGACACUGUUGGUGAACAGAUCAACAGAUAUGAUCAGAGUAAGUACAGAUUAAAGAGGUAAUCUUUGGGCCAGUUCCUGAAAUUAGUGCUAUAGUCAUCAUAAAGUGGACAAGUUAAAGAUGGAGAAUCAUUAGGAAAUUUCCCCAAGAGAAUACAUCUAAAUAGAUUUCAAUAGAUUCUCUUUCGACAGGUACAUAUAGGUAUAUGUGCAGCAUCCUUCCCUUCCUCCCCUUUGUUACCUCUGGUAUAAAGGUUACCUCUGAAGACCAGCAGGUGUAAAGGUUAUACCUCCGAUAACCAGCGAUAACCAGCGCUAACUCUGUUGUACAUGUAGCUGUAAUAACAAAAUGUCCACUUGAUUAGAUUGGAAGAGUCAAAUCAGAAGAGGUAUUCACAAGGCCACAUUCUGAAAUUUGUACUAGUCAUCAUAAACAGGACAUGUUCAAGCCUUAUUUUUGUCUUAUGAUGAUGGAAUACUUUCUCGCACUCCAGUUGACUUAUGUCAGGCACAAGUCACUAUGUGAUUUGAGGG